rnacentral:lncRNA from 1 species
UAAACAGAACCAUCAAAACAGAACCUUCAAACGUGCGCCUCUCUGAGCACUGUGACUCCCACGGCCUUUCCACCCUCCCGUGAACCUUCUGCCCCUGCGAGGAGACGUAGAAUACGGCAAGCGUGUACCACUCUGACCCCUGUACUUACAGCGGGACCCACGGCAGCUCCACUCUCCCUUUCACCAGAUCCUUUCGAACCUGCGAGGCCGAUAAGGAGACGUAGGAACCAGAGACACAAGUCUAACAUUGUCAGGAGAUUGUUUGAUGGUAUAUUUUAUACUAUAUCUUCUUGACUAAUAAUAAUAAUAAUAUAUAAAAAAAAUAAUAACUCAUCUCUCAUCUAAUUACAGAUUCAGGGUUGAGAUUAAACGAGAGCGUCCCUGAACCGUCCUUCAACAGGGUGGAGGGGGAUACGGGGGGCAACGAUCAUCCCCAACAACAGCACAAGCACCACGAGAGCGUUCGUCAACCGUCCUUCAACAGGGUGGACGGGGAUACAGCCGGAUACAAUCAUCCCCAACAACAGCACGAGCACCACGAGAGCGUUCCUGAUCCGCUCUUUGACAGGGUGGAGGAGGAUACAGGCUGCUACAUUCAUUCCCAACACCCCCAAGACAAGGUAGUGCUGGAGAUUUUCAAUAAUGUCAUACGGUAUAUUGUUUCCUCCAAUUGUAACCAAAGGUGUACUAAAACAGUGUUGAAAAAGCUGUAAUUUUUUUUUUCCUUUUUCUGUCUUUUGUUUAAGAUAUGGAUGAGGAUUUCAAUGUUGAAUAUUUUAAUCAAGUACCGAAUGCUUUACAAAUAGCUGUUGAUCAAUUAAGUGAUGAGGAUUUCAAUGUUGAAUAUUUUAAUCAAGUACCGAAUGCUUUACAAAUAGCUGUUGAUCAAUUAAGUGAAAUUCCAAUCUCCAUUCCAAUAAAUUUACAAUUUACAGAGCAAAAUGAAAACGUCCUAGAACUUGACACCUUACAACUCAUAAAUGAUGCCCUCGAAAACCUUAAUGCAGUUAAUGCAGUAGAGUUUGAAAAUCAUUCUCCUUCAUCAGCUCUCCACACGCAAAGUGAUCAUGUCUUACACGCGGUAACAAUCAGAUCAGAGACGGAUUCAGCAGAGACACAAUCGGCUCUUCCUAACCCCCCUCCUGAACAGGAUGAGAGGCCAGGAGAAGGGGGGUCAGAGAGCAGCCCCUCAGCCCAUCUUUCUCCUCAGCAAGGGGGAGGAGGGCUAGGAGAAAAUCCACCCGAUCUCUCUCCUGAGCGGGGUGAGAGGUUUUUUAAUGAUUUUAUCACAUGGAGAACAAGACGCUCCUUUAACAUUCCCACUCGGGGAAAUGUGCCUGACAUUGCAACAUUCUAUCGAGAUGUAACAGGGGUUAUCAGCGAAUUGGUGGAUGCUGCCAGACGACAUAGUAGUCGCAAUGAUUUAAUACAGUUGGAGGUGGUGGGUGAAAACGUACACAAUCAUGUUACAGUUGCUGUGGAUGAACAAGGUGAAAAUAUUCUACCGGCUUUUAAUGGAAUGCUAGAUCGGAUUGUGCAGUCAAACGGUAUCAUUUCAUCGGAUGAGAAUAUAGAAUUCAUCCUUCACGUGGUGCAGAACCCAGGAGGAGGUGCCAAACGUAAGAUGGAGAAAACUCUAGACUGUGAAAUCAUUGACAAAAAAAGACGUCACUUAUUUAUCGUAGACAACAGAGACAACCAGCUUUGCUUCGCCAUCAGUCUAGCUCACGUUAUCUACCCGAAACUUACUGAAAGAGAAUGCCUUGAUAUUGCGAGGAAGUUGCAGCAUCAGGCUGGUUUAAAUGAUGAGACCCCCGUCACUUUCAGCGACAUUGGUAAAUUUGAAAAUAUUCUGGGGCGUAAAAUUGUUGUGUUUUACAGAACAUGCCACAGUAAACCCCUCUCACAUUAUGAGACAAAAUUCUCUGAUCGUUCCAAUCAGUUGUUUCUCUUUUUACUACAAAAUCACUAUUAUGGGAUAAAAAAUCUCAAAGCCUUCCUGGGGUCGUCAGUCUGUAAUUAUUGUUACAAGACUUUUAAGCACCCCUAUACCCACUUUUGUAAAGGUUACUGCGCAGUGUGCAACGAUCCUGCCUGCCCCACAGAAGGGUUCAACACAGUGGUUUGCUCUGACUGUAACAGAACGUGUCGCUCACCCUCUUGUUUCACCAGACACAAAUUGGUCGGUUCAAGCAGAAAGUCCAGCCUCUGCGACCAAAUCAAAAAAUGCGCACGAUGCGAACUAUACUACAGUGUCAAUUUGUCGUUAGACGAUGCAAAGCAUCGCUGUGCGGUGAAAAAAUGUAAAAUCUGUGGUGAAAAACUGCAGAGCGACUCUAAAGUCGAUCAUAGUUGUUACAUUCCUACCCUCCAACCAGACAUCUCACAUCCUGAUUUGGUUUUUUAUGAUUUUGAAACAUUUGUGGGUCAAAAUGGAGAGCAUGUUCCUUUUUUAGUGCAUACAAAAACAUCCAAAGGUGAAGAGAAGGCGUUUUAUGGUCUUGACUGUGCUAAAAUGUUUAUUUUGCAUUUCAGGAAGCCACGAUACAAACAGAACAUCUUUAUAGCCCAUAAUGCCAAGGGGUUUGACAGUUAUCUGGUGUUAAAAGGUAUGUUGGAACUGGAUGUGACGCCACAACAGAUUCUGAUGAACGGGAGUAAAAUCCUCAGUUUUGAGGAAUCCCAUUAUGGUCUCAAAUUCAUAGAUUCCCUGUCAUUUCUCCCCAUGCGUCUCAGCGCUAUGCCCAAAGCCUUAGGAUUCACUGACAAGACCAAGGGGUAUUUCCCACACAAAUUUAGCUCAGAAAUUCACCUCAAUUACGUGGGGCCCUAUCCCGUUCCGUCCGACUACGACGUAGAUCGCAUGACGGUGCGCGAACGGGAAGAAUUUGACCCGUGGUACAACGAGGUCAGCCGAGGUACCUUUGACUUCAAAAAGGAGGCCUCGCUGUACUGCAAAAAUGAUGUUGACAUUCUCACCCAGGGCAGUCUUAAAUUUAGAGAUCAGUUCCUAGGUGAGACGGGGGUAGACCCUUUUGGUUCUAUCACCAUAGCCGGAGCCUGUAUGAAGGUGUUUCGCACCAAUUAUCUGACUCCUAACACUCUGGCUAUCCCCUGCCCUCACAACUAUUUGAAUCAGAGCAAAAGAUUCUCUAGCGCAUCGGUUCAAUGGUUAGAAUGGUUGAUGCACAAAGAAAAAAUCUUUAUACAGCAUGCUCUAAACAUGGGUGAAAAACAGAUUGGUGCAUUUUUCGUAGACGGAUAUGCUGAGAUUGACGGUGUAAAACAUGUCUGGGAAUUUCAUGGAUGUUUUUACCACGGCUGUCCCAGUUGCUUUGAUCCCACAGUACAGUGCGAUAUGAGAGGCGUCACCUUUGGUGAACUGCACUACAAAAGUGAGAAGAGGGUGAGUGAGCUACAGACCACACAUGGGGUUCGUGUUGUAGUCAUGAGAGAACACACGUGGAACCAGAUGAAAACAACAUGCACGGAGGUUAAAGAAUUUCUCCGUUGCUUUAACGCUCCUGAGCCUCUCAACCCCCGAAAAGCACUUUUCGGAGGUAGAACGAGCGCUUUAAAACUGCGACACACGGCAGCGCCCGAUGAAACCAUCCACUAUGUUGAUGUCACCUCACUGUACCCGUUUGUCAACAGUACUUGCUCUUACCCCUUUGGUCACCCCGUGAUCAUCUACAAAGAUUUCGAGGACCCACGCAGCUACUACGGCUUCAUCAGAGCCACUGUGUAUCCUCCUCGAGGUCUUUUAUUCCCCGUGUUACCGCACAAAAGUGAGGGAGGUAAAUUACUCUUUACACUGUGUCGCACCUGUGCCGAAACUAACAAUGAGGGUGGCCCCUGCGAACACGACGAUGAGGGCAGAGCUCUGACGGGGGUCUGGGUCACCGUUGAAUUCAUCAAAGCUCUGGAGGUGGGGUACAGGGUGGGUAAAAUUACAGAAGUCUGGCACUUUGACAAGAGCAGCGACACUGUGUUUACCGACUACAUACACACCUUUUUGAAAGGAAAGCAGGAAGCCUCGGGUUACCCCGCUGAGGCGACGGACCGAGAGAGCAGGGAAAAAUACAUCAGGGACUAUCAGGAGCAUCAGGGCAUUCUUUUAGAUGCUGGCAAAAUCGAGACCAAUCCUGUGAAAAGACAGGUUGCUAAAUUGUGUCUCAACAGUUUGUGGGGAAAGUUUGCACAGAGAGAUAAUUUGUUUAAAACCACCAUUGUCUCAGAUCCUAAAGAAUUCUUUAGUUACAUGUUUUCAGGUAAAUACAAAGUCGAAUACUUUUCCGUUCUCCACAGCAACAGAGCUCUCAUCAGGUGGAAAUACACCGACAGGUACGUUCAACCCCCAGGUAAACAGAGUAAUGUUUUUAUUGCAGCAUUCACCACAGCACACGCACGACUGAAGCUGUACAGUUAUCUGGAAAAACUACAAGACAGAGUGUUUUACAUCGACACAGAUAGUUUAAUCUAUCUGGUCAAAGAGGGUGAGAAACCUCUAGAGCUGGGUAACUAUUUAGGUGACCUGACGGAUGAACUGGAUGGUGACAGCAUUCAAGAGUUUGCAGCGGUGGGUCCCAAGAGUUACGCGUACCAAACACGAAAUAAAAAGAAAGUCGUCAUGCGUGUGAAAGGUAUCACUCAGACCCGGGAAUUUUGUGAGCGUGUGAGCUUUGACAGUGUCAGAGAGCUGGUGGAGGGUUACCUGAGUAAUAAACAAGAGGGAAACACGAUCGAGAUCCGUCAACACAGCAUCAGACGUGAUAAAAAGGGUUUCGCAUUGAGAAAUGUGUCAUUUGAUAAAAAAUUUAGGGUGGUGUAUGACAAAAGACGACUCUUUGCUGACGGAACAACUCUGCCUUUCGGGUAUUAGAAAUGCAGGAAAUUGAAUUUGAUCCUAGGUUUAUCUUUCCUUUUUCUUGUUUAAUCGUGGGUCCGAGCGGGUGUGGAAAGACCUAUUUUGUAAAAAAUGUAUUGGAAAACUGUGACCGUGUAAUAAAUGUUGUACCUGACAAUAUCGUGUGGAUUUAUACCUCUUUUCAACCUAUGUACGCUGAACUGCAAAAGAUGAUUAAAAACAUUAAAUUUGUCAAAGGUCUGCCUGAUUCUUUUGAAGAUGAAACACUGUUUCCUCCUGAUCAAAAGCAUUUGAUUAUUUUGGACGAUGUUAUUUUUCAAGCCUCUGACCAUCCUGAAGUGGUAAAGAUUUUUACACAGUAUCGCCACCACAGAAACAUGAGUGUUAUGAUGUUGACUCAAAACGUGUUUCACCAGGGUAAACACAGUCGCACCAUCAGUUUGAACAGCAAUUAUUUGGUCAUGUUUAAAAACCCACGGGAUAAACUACAAAUGAAUAUAUUGGCUCAUCAGAUUUUUCCAUCACAAAAGACAUUUUUCUUGGAGAGUUUUGAAGACGCCACAAAAGACCCUCACGGGUAUUUAAUAGUGGAUCUCACCCCCGUCUGCCCAGAUCCGUACAGACUGAGGACGGGUGUACUUCCUCACCAGCAAGCGGCCGUUUACAUCCCCAGAGCGUCGACGUAGAUCAUCAUGUCAGCGCGUAUAAAAAGAAACGCACCCCUGCUGAAGGCCCUGUACCGUGCCACACCCAAGAAACGUAGAGACAUUCUUAUUCACAGCUCCCCGGAUUUUAUCCAGACACUGUGUGAGAUUUCUUUAAAUCUUCUAAAAGGAAACCUCCCCCUGACUCCUUCUCAAUUUAAAAAACUGAAGAGACAGAAAAAAAUUAUCAAACUGUUGGCUGAUAAAAGAACCAGUUUAAAGAGGAAGCAACAGGUUCUAAAGAAGCAGACGGGCGGAUUUCUUUUACCUCUCCUCUCAGCGGUGGUACCUUUGAUCGGGAACCUCGUCGGAGGAUUGAUACGAAAAUGACUUUGAAAAAGGCCCCAAAAAAUGUUUCUCGUCACCCCUCAUCAACUCAACCGCCUGACGCGACCCUCCCAGUCCAUCAGAGAUGUCGCGGAGGACGAUUUGGAUGCUAGGAUGAGAGCCAUCUUAAACGAGCAGGGGCUGAGCUCUCAUGAAAAAAUUAAAAAAUAUAACGCGUUACUGCAAAGAUAUCUGACCUUUGUGAAGCAGGAUCAGACAGAGAAUCUGACAGAGAAUCUGACAAAGACGGAGGCAGAGGCAGAUUCUGGGACGGACGUACGGACGUCCGAUAGCAUCAUCGAC